rnacentral:rRNA from 1 species
GACGUAGGGGGCAAGCGUUGUCCGGAAUUAUUGGGCGUAAAGGGUGCGUAGGCGGUUUGGUAAGUCUGAUGUGAAAUCUAUGGGCUCAACUCAUAGUCUGCAUCGGAAACUGCCGGGCUUGAGUGUGGGAGAGGUGAGUGGAAUUCCUGGUGUAGCGGUGAAAUGCGUAGAUAUCAGGAGGAACACCUGUGGCGAAAGCGGCUCACUGGACCAUAACUGACGCUGAUGCACGAAAGCUAGGGGAGCAAACAGG